CAACUCGUGUCCUCGCGUCAGUUCAAUUUUCGUCAUGUCAUUCGGCGGAUUGGUGUUUCGCGAUACGAGACGAAUUCUUCGUAUCGAAAACGUCGUACGGAUGGCGGCGUCCUGGCGGUAAUUUGGCCUUUUGUUGCCAGCACGCCGAAACCUGCAGUGAGUACUUACUAUAUAAUAUAAUAUUAUAUCUCGAACUGCUCGCUCCGGCCCGAGAGCGCACGUGGUUUCUAUUUGCGUCACAAUUGUAUAUUUGUGCAUUUUAAGAGACCCGGCUCGACGUGUAUUUUAUGUUUCCUCUGUUCCUCGGUACCGGCCGUAUUUUUUCCACUACGCGACGGUUCGAUUUUGCGCGAUACCAAUUAUUUCUGUAUGGACAGUAACGCGUACGGACGGGCGGGCGUCCGACCCGACGGUAUUAACGUCUUUUGGUCGCCGGCACGCCGACUAAGUAAGUAAGUAAGUAAGUACUCAAUCACGCACGAGUCUCGGAUGUUCGAGAUACUCGUCCUAGCCGGGCGCGCACGUGGUUUUUUUUCCGUCACAAUUGUGUACCUACUUGCGCAUUUGUACGACCGGCUUCAACGUUUGCGUUUCCGCAUCUCUCGAUGCGUACGUCGCCCGACAUUUUGCCGGUGUCGUUUUCGCGCGUAAUUGUCCGCGGCCCGUCAACGAACGAAGCCCGGCCCCUCCCCCGGUCAGGUAACCCCGUAGCGGUCCUGUAAAACCGGCGUGAGGUUGCCCGUGAUGUACCUGUAGGACGUUGUGUCCGCACAUGUCAUUCGGUUCGGUUACCUGUCCGUAACGGACGGUUACAUAAAUCUAACCGAAUAGCCGAAAAUCGGUAUUCCGGCCGAUGCACGUAUCUUUUGUUACGUAGGUCGCCGAAUAUUUCGCGGGCGGACGUUUUUUGCGCGUAUCUGCCCGUGGCCCGCCGACGUGCGGCCCCGGUCAGUAUAGUCUACAAAAUGGCGUACUUACCUUAUUUAGAAAAAAAAAAAAACAACCUGUAUGGUAGGUACGGCCACAGUUGCGUAAUGAUGUACUAUUUAUCAGUUGUAUUUAGAAAAAGGAAUGAACAAAUUAUAUGAUAAUGUGGUGCCGAAAUGCUGGAUGUGCAGGAGGUUGUGUGCGUAAUGUUAAAAAAAAAAAUGACGAAAAAACGUUUCAAAAACGACGUACCUACCUAAUCAUACUUGUGUUAUUUCUGUAAAACAAAAAAAUAUUAAAAAAAAAAAAAAAUACAAAUCAUGUAUUAGAUAAGACCGCAGUUAAUGAUGUAUCUAAUUGAUUUUUGAAUUACAAAAAAAAAUUUUUAUGGUACAACCAUGGUUUUACAAUAUGACUGUAACCUUAUCACCGGUUGGUAUCACGGAUAUUGGAAUCCUGUUUCCUAGAUAUAAUGGGAUAGAUAUAAUGGGAUUCUUCCAAUUUUUUUUCCAUUUGAAAAUUAUCAAUUUUCCUCUUGGCUCAGAUUUGUCACGGAUACUCUGUUUUGGUUUGGGAUUUAUAAAGUGAAUUAUUUUCAAUAAAAAACACUAAACACUAGAAUUUAUCGUGUUUUUAAUAUAUAUUUUUCUUUUUCUUUUUUUUUAUUUGCUAGUAAAAGAAAAUGUGUACAAAAUAUAAUG
rnacentral:lncRNA from 1 species